CUUGAUUUAUUUUCUCAAACAAAGCACGCAUUCUCUCUGCAGAGGACGGCCGAGUGGCACUGACUGUGUUACGUAUCAGGCAAGCGACUAGCCCCUUUAACAGCGGGGUGCAGCUCUGUGAGACGCCCCAGGACUUUCCAGGCGCCCUCCUUCCUGAGCAUCUGCAGGAGCUCUGCGGUGGCUGCCUCGAUGUCCUGAGUGGAUCCUCACACUGACCGUCCGGCCACUUUGUCUCUGAGGUGGAGCCGGACGUCACACGGUGCCAGACCCGGGGAAGAGCGUUGAAGACACAGCGCUGUGUUUUCAUCGGACAGACAGUGCCAUAGGUGGCUGACCAACACAGGACGUCACGGAAGAUGGUGAGUGCUCACAUUUAAAGACGUGCUACAGGACAAGGACCCGUUGCCACGGACCCCUGUCUAAAUCCUCCCCAA
rnacentral:lncRNA from 1 species